UACGAAGGGGGCUAGCGUUGUUCGGAAUUACUGGGCGUAAAGCGUGCGCAGGCGGCUUCUCAAGUCAGGGGUGAAAGCCCAGAGCUCAACUCUGGAAUUGCCUUUGAGACUGAGGGGCUUGAGUACGAGAGAGGUGAGUGGAAUUCCCAGUGUAGAGGUGAAAUUCGUAGAUAUUGGGAAGAACACCGGUGGCGAAGGCGGCUCACUGGCUCGUAACUGACGCUCAUGCACGACAGCGUGGGGAGCAAACAGG
rnacentral:rRNA from 1 species